rnacentral:tRNA from 1 species
GGUGGCUAAAUGGUAGAGUGCUUGUCUUGCAUGCAUGAGGCCCUGGGUUCAAUUCCUCAGCACCA